rnacentral:rRNA from 1 species
GUAGGUGGCAAGCGUUGUCCGGAAUUAUUGGGCGUAAAGCGCGCGCAGGUGGUUCUUUAAGUCUGAUGUGAAAGCCCCCGGCUCAACCGGGGAGGGUCAUUGGAAACUGGGGAACUUGAGUGCAGGAGAGGAAAGUGGAAUUCCACGUGUAGCGGUGAAAUGCGUAGAUAUGUGGAGGAACACCAGUGGCGAAGGCGACUUUCUGGCCUGUAACUGACACUGAGGCGCGAAAGCGUGGGGAGCAAACAGGAUUAGAUACCCUGGUAGUCCACGCCGUAAACGAUGAGUGCUAAGUGUUGGGGGGGUUUCCCGCCCCCCUCAGCGCUGCAGCUAACGCAUUAAGCACUCCGCCUGGGGAGUACGGUCGCAAGACUG